rnacentral:rRNA from 1 species
UACGUAGGGACCAAGCGUUGUCCGGAAUCAUUGGGCGUAAAGAGCGUGUAGGCGGCUUGUUAAGUCUUGCGUGAAAUCUCGGGGCUCAACCCCGAGCGGUCGUGAGAAACUGGCAGGCUAGAGUGCGGGAGAGGAGAGUGGAAUUCCUGGUGUAGCGGUGAAAUGCGCAGAUAUCAGGAGGAACACCGGUGGCGAAGGCGGUGGGCUGGGCCGGAACUGACGCUGAGGAGCGAAAGCGUGGGGAGCGAACAGG